rnacentral:rRNA from 1 species
UACGUAGGGUGCGAGCGUUAAUCGGAAUUACUGGGCGUAAAGCGUGCGCAGGCGGUUCGCUGUGUCCGAUGUGAAAGCCCCGGGCUUAACCUGGGAAUGGCAUUGGAAACUGGCGGGCUUGAGUGCGGCAGAGGGGGGUGGGAAUUCCGCGUGUAGCAGUGAAAUGCGUAGAGAUGCGGAGGAACACCGAUGGCGAAGGCAGCCCCCUGGGGUCGACACUGACGCUCAGGCACGAAAGCGUGGGGAGCAAACAGG